rnacentral:lncRNA from 1 species
UGGGCUGUGCUGUCUACACCGGCCUGGGCUGUGCUGUCUACACACCGUCACCUGCCUGGGCCGUGCUGUCUACACACCGACACCGGCCUGGGCCGUGCUGUCUACACACCGUCACCUGCCUGGGCCGUGCUGUCUACACACCGUCACCUGCCUGGGCUGUGCUGUCUACACACUGACACCGGCCUGGGCCGUGCUGUCUACACCGGCCUGGGCCGUGCUGUCUACACACCGUCACCUGCCUGGGCCGUGCUGUCUACACACCGUCACCUGCCUGGGCCGUGCUGUCUACACACCGUCACCUGCCUGGGCCGUGCUGUCUACACACCGUCACCUGCCUGGGCCGUGCUGUCUACACACCGUCACCUGCCUGGGCCGUGCUGUCUACACACCGUCACCUGCCUGGGCCGUGCUGUCUAGACACCGUCACCUGCCUGGGCCGUGCUGUCUACACACCGUCACCUGCCUGGGCCGUGCUGUCUACACACCGUCACCUGCCUGGGCCGUGCUGUCUACACACCGUCACCUGCCUGGGCUGUGCUGUCUACACACUGACACCGGCCUGGGCCGUGCUGUCUACACCGGCCUGGGCCGUGCUGUCUACACACCGUCACCUGCCUGGGCCGUGCUGUCUACACACCGACACCGGCCUGGGCCGUGCUGUCUACACACCAUCACCUGCCUGGGCCGUGCUGUCUACACACCGUCACCUGCCUGGGCCGUGCUGUCUACACACCGUCACCUGCCUGGGCCGUGCUGUCUACACACCGUCACCUGCCUGGGCC